rnacentral:lncRNA from 1 species
GCUCAGAUUGUUACAAAUAACUUUCCUAAAUACAUUAGUUUACAAUCAAUAUAAACUCUCUAAACAAUACUUAAAAGAAUGUAGCAACAAGAAAACUUAACAAAGCAGUCAAAAAGACACUUCAAAAUUAAAAGAACUCUGCUUUACUAGCACGAUUUUCUCUACUUUACUAGCAUGACUAGGGUUUUGUUUUGAGAUUUAUUUUUUUGUUUCUUGACAGCGACGGUAGUUUUCGACAGGCUCAUCGUUGGUUUUUUUGGG